ACGGGUGCUUAACACGUGGGCAACCUGCCAUGAAGUGGGGGAUAGCUCGCCGAAAGGCGAAUUAAUACCGCAUGUGAUUAGAGAGGACAUCCUUUCGAAAUUAAAGUCGGGGCAACCUGACGCUUCUUGUGGGGCCCGCGGCCUAUCAGCUAGUUGGUGAGGUAACGGCUCACCAAGGCUUUGACGGGUAGCUGGUCUGAGAGGACGACCAGCCACACUGGGACUGAGACACGGCCCAGACACCUACGGGUGGCAGCAGUCGAGAAUUUUUGACAAUGGGGGAAACCCUGAUCGAGCGACGCCGCGUGGAGGAUGAAGGUCUUCGGAUUAUAAACUCCUGUCAUUUGGGAACAAGGUGCACACGUUAACUGCGUGUGUAUUGAUAGUACCAGAAGAGGAAGGGACGGCUAACUCUGUGCCAGCAGCCGCGGUAAUACAGAGGUCUCAAGCGUUGUUCGGAUUCAUUGGGCGUAAAGGGUGCGUAGGCGGCGCGGUAAGUCGGGUGUGAAAUCUCGGAGCUUAACUCCGAAACUGCAUUCGAUACUGCCGUGCUUGAGGACUGGAGAGGAGACUGGAAUU
rnacentral:rRNA from 1 species